GAUGAACGCUAGCGGACAGGCUUAACACAUGCAAGUCGAGGGGCAGCAUGAACUUAGCUUGCUAAGUUUGAUGGCGACCGGCGCACGGGUGAGUAACGCGUAUGCAACUUACCUAUCAGAGGAGAAUAGCUCAUCGAAAGAUGAAUUAAUGCUCCAUAAAACAGGGGUCCCGCAUGGGAAUAUUUGUUAAAGAUUCAUCGCUGAUAGAUAGGCAUGCGUUCCAUUAGGCAGUUGGUGAGGUAACGGCUCACCAAGGCGACGAUCCGUAGCUGGUUUGAGAGGACGACCAGCCACACUGGGACUGAGACACGGCCCAG
rnacentral:rRNA from 1 species